CAGAGAGUAGUUUAAUGUAAAAUGCCAGCUUUGGGAGUUGGCGAUAGAGGUUUAAGUCCUCUUUUUCUGA
rnacentral:tRNA from 1 species